GAUUGAACGCUGGCGGCAGGCCUAACACAUGCAAGUCGAACGGUAACAGRRAGCAGCUUGCUGCUUUGCUGACGAGUGGCGGACGGGUGAGUAAUGUCUGGGAAACUGCCUGAUGGAGGGGGAUAACUACUGGAAACGGUGGCUAAUACCGCAUAACGUCGCAAGACCAAAGAGGGGGACCUUCGGGCCUCUUGCCAUCAGAUGUGCCCAGAUGGGAUUAGCUUGUUGGUGAGGUAACGGCUCACCAAGGCGACGAUCCCUAGCUGGUCUGAGAGGAUGACCAGCCACACUGGAACUGAGACACGGUCCAGACUCCUACGGGAGGCAGCAGUGGGGAAUAUUGCACAAUGGGCGCAAGCCUGAUGCAGCCAUGCCGCGUGUAUGAAGAAGGCCUUCGGGUUGUAAAGUACUUUCAGCGGGGAGGAAGGUGYUGUGGUUAAUAACCGCAGCAAUUGACGUUACCCGCAGAAGAAGCACCGGCUAACUCCG
rnacentral:rRNA from 1 species